rnacentral:lncRNA from 1 species
UAUCUUUUUAUUUACAUUCAGAGGCCUAAUAUUGUAUUAGCUAACUCAUCACUAGAUACUGUCCUUCAUGAUGCAUAUUAUGUCAUAGCUUGUCUCUUUUAUGUUCUACCAAUAGGAACAGUCGUUGCCAUUAUAGGAGGAUUUGUCCACUGAUUCCUACUAUUUUCAGGUUAUACACCUAAUUUAACUUGAGUCAAAAUUUAUUUUACAAUUAUAUUUGUAGGUGUUAACUUUAUUUAUCAACAUUUCCUUGGCCUAUUAGGAAUGCCCAACAAUACUUCAAUUACUCCAUACAUAUGCAAUAUGAAAUGCCAUCAUUGAUAGGCUCAUUCAUUUCAUUAACAGCAUUAAUGUUAAGGAUUUUCAUAAUCUGUUAAGACUUCUAUUCAAAAUGAGAAGUCUCAGUACUAGAACUUUCAAAUAUAAACCUCAAAUGACUUCAUGGCUGUCUACCACCAUAUCAUAGAUUUGAAGAGCUGCUUACAUAAAGGCCUAAAAUA